CAGGACGAACGCUGGCUGCGUGCUUAACACAUGCAAGUCGAACGCUGAAGCCCCAGCUUGCUGGGGUGGAUGAGUGGCGAACGGGUGAGUAACACGUGAGUAACCUGCCCCUGACUUCGGGAUAAGCCCGGGAAACUGGGUCUAAUACCGGAUACGACCUGUCCUCGCAUGAGGGUGGGUGGAAAGUUUUUUCGGUUGGGGAUGGGCUCGCGGCCUAUCAGUUUGUUGGUGAGGUAAUGGCUCACCAAGACGACGACGGGUAGCCGGCCUGAGAGGGCGACCGGCCACACUGGGACUGAGACACGGCCCAGACUCCUACGGGAGGCAGCAGUGGGGAAUAUUGCACAAUGGGGGAAACCCUGAUGCAGCGACGCAGCGUGCGGGAUGACGGCCUUCGGGUUGUAAACCGCUUUCAGCAGGGAAGAAGCGAAAGUGACGGUACCUGCAGAAGAAGUACCGGCUAACUACGUGCCAGCAGCCGCGGUAAUACGUAGGGUACGAGCGUUGUCCGGAAUUAUUGGGCGUAAAGAGCUCGUAGGUGGUUGGUCACGUCUGCUGUGGAAACGCAACGCUUAACGUUGCGCGUGCAGUGGGUACGGGCUGACUAGAGUGCAGUAGGGGAGUCUGGAAUUCCUGGUGUAGCGGUGAAAUGCGCAGAUAUCAGGAGGAACACCGGUGGCGAAGGCGGGACUCUGGGCUGUAACUGACACUGAGGAGCGAAAGCAUGGGGAGCGAACAGGAUUAGAUACCCUGGUAGUCCAUGCCGUAAACGUUGGGCACUAGGUGUGGGGGACAUUCCACGUUCUCCGCGCCGUAGCUAACGCAUUAAGUGCCCCGCCUGGGGAGUACGGUCGCAAGGCUAAAACUCAAAGGAAUUGACGGGGGCCCGCACAAGCGGCGGAGCAUGCGGAUUAAUUCGAUGCAACGCGAAGAACCUUACCAAGGCUUGACAUACACCAGACCGGCUUGGAAACAGGUCUUCCCCUUUGGGGUUGGUGUACAGGUGGUGCAUGGUUGUCGUCAGCUCGUGUCGUGAGAUGUUGGGUUAAG
rnacentral:rRNA from 1 species